UACAGAGGGGGCAAGCGUUGUUCGGAAUUACUGGGCGUAAAGGGCGCGUAGGCGGCCCUCUAAGUCGAACGUGAAAUCCCCGAGCUCAACUCGGGAACUGCGUCCGAUACUGGCGGGCUUGAAUCCGGGAGAGGGAUGCGGAAUUCCAGGUGUAGCGGUGAAAUGCGUAGAUAUCUGGAGGAACACCGGUGGCGAAGGCGGCAUCCUGGACCGGCAUUGACGCUGAGGCGCGAAAGCCAGGGGAGCAAACGGG
rnacentral:rRNA from 1 species